AGAGUUUGAUCCUGGCUCAGGAUGAACGCUAGCGGCAAGCCUAACACAUGCAAGUCGAACGGUAACUUUUGGUGCUUGCACCGAAAGACGAGUGGCGAACGGGUGCGUAACGCGUAUGCAAUCUGCCUUUUACUAGGGUAUAGCCCAGAGAAAUUUGGAUUAAUCCCCUAUAAUAUCAUUUAAUCGCAUGAUUUUAUGAUUAAAGCUUCGGCGGUAAAAGAUGAGCAUGCGUCCUAUUAGUUAGUAGGUGAGGUAACGGCUCACCUAGACUCCGAUAGGUAGGGGUCCUGAGAGGGAGAUCCCCCACACUGGUACUGAGACACGGACCAGACUCCUACGGGAGGCAGCAGUGAGGAAUAUUGGACAAUGGACGAAAGUCUGAUCCAGCUAUGCCGCGUGCAGGAUGACGGCCCUAUGGGUUGUAAACUGCUUUUAUACAGGAAGAAAAACUCCGACGUGUCGGAACUUGACGGUACUGUAAGAAUAAGGAUCGGCUAACUCCGUGCCAGCAGCCGCGGUAAUACGGAGGAUCCAAGCGUUAUCCGGAAUCAUUGGGUUUAAAGGGUCCGUAGGCGGUUUUUUAAGUCAGAGGUGAAAUCCUGCAGCUCAACUGUAGAAUUGCCUUUGAUACUGAAAGACUUGAGUUAUUGUGAAGUGGUUAGAAUGUGUGGUGUAGCGGUGAAAUGCAUAGAUAUCACACAGAAUACCAAUUGCGAAGGCAGAUCACUAACAAUAUACUGACGCUCAGGGACGAAAGCGUGGGUAGCGAACAGGAUUAGAUACCCUGGUAGUCCACGCCGUAAACGAUGGAUACUAGCUGUAUGUCUACUUCAGGUAGAUGUGUGGCUAAGCGAAAGUGAUAAGUAUCCCACCUGGGGAGUACGAUCGCAAGAUUGAAACUCAAAGGAAUUGACGG
rnacentral:rRNA from 1 species